rnacentral:hammerhead_ribozyme from 1 species
AUAAAGCUGACGAGUCCCAAAUGGGACGAAACUCGUGUCGUGCAU